GAUGAACGCUGGCGGCGUGCUUAACACAUGCAAGUCGAACGGAAAGGCUCCUGCUUGCCGGGGUACUCGAGUGGCGAACGGGUGAGUAACACGUGGGUGAUCUGCCCUGCACUUCGGGAUAAGCCUGGGAAACUGGGUCUAAUACCGGAUAGGACCACAUUUUGGGUGGUGUGGUGGAAAGUUUUUCGGUGUGGGAUGAGCUCGCGGCCUAUCAGCUUGUUGGUGGGGUAAUGGGCUACCAAGGCGUCGACGGGUAGCCGGCCUGGGAGGGUGUACGGCCACAUUGGGACUGAGAUACGGCCCAGACUCCUACGGGAGGCAGCAGUGGGGAAUAUUGCACAAUGGGCGCAAGCCUGAUGCAGCGACGCCGCGUGGGGGAUGACGGCCUUCGGGUUGUAAACUCCUUUCGCUAGGGACGAAGCGCAAGUGACGGUACCUGGAGAAGAAGCACCGGCUAACUACGUG
rnacentral:rRNA from 1 species